GGGCUCUUGGCGCAGGGGUAGCGCGCACGCUUCGCAUCUUACUUAGUUGCGUGAGGUCGUGGGUUCAAAUCCCAUAGUGUCCA